UCAAGAAUCUUCCGCAAUGGGCGAAAGCCUGACGGAGCGACGUCGCGUGCAGGAUGAAGACCUUCGGGUUGUAAACUGCUUUUCUCUCUGACGAAUUCGUGACGGUAAGAGAGGAAUAAGAGGUUGCUAACUCUGUGCCAGCAGCAGCGGUAAUACAGAGACCUCAAGUGUUAUCCGGAUUUAUUGGGCGUAAAGCGUCCGCCGGUGGUUUGGCAAGUAAAGGAUAAAAUCUUCAGGCUCAACCUGAAGUUCGUCCUUUAAACUGCUAAACUCGAGGGUGGAAAAGGCAAGCGGAACUGCAGGUGUAGUCGUAAUAAGCGUUGAUAUCUGCAGGAACACCAAAGGCGAAGGCAGCUUGCUAGAACAUUCCUGACACUCAUGGACGAAAGCGUGGGGAGCG
rnacentral:rRNA from 1 species